rnacentral:rRNA from 1 species
CCUACGGGAGGCAGCAGUGGGGAAUAUUGCACAAUGGGCGCAAGCCUGAUGCAGCGACGCCGCGUGAGGGAUGACGGCCUUCGGGUUGUAAACCUCUUUCACCAGGGACGAAGCGUGAGUGACGGUACCUGGAGAAGAAGCACCGGCCAACUACGUGCCAGCAGCCGCGGUAAUACGUAGGGUGCGAGCGUUGUCCGGAAUUACUGGGCGUAAAGAGUUCGUAGGCGGUUUGUCGCGUCGUUCGUGAAAACUUGGGGCUUAACUCCAAGCGUGCGGGCGAUACGGGCAGACUUGAGUACUACAGGGGAGACUGGAAUUCCUGGUGUAGCGGUGAAAUGCGCAGAUAUCAGGAGGAACACCGGUGGCGAAGGCGGGUCUCUGGGUAGUAACUGACGCUGAGGAACGAAAGCGUGGGUAGCGAACAGGAUUAGAUACCCUGGUAGUCCACGCUGUAAACGGUGGGUACUAGGUGUGGGUUCCUUUCACGGGAUCCGUGCCGUAGCUAACGCAUUAAGUACCCCGCCUGGGGAGUACGGCCGCAAGGCUAAAACGUUACAAGAUAGUACGGACGUGUAGACUGCGACGACGCACGAGGAGGUAG